rnacentral:ncRNA from 2 species
CUCUUAUCAAGAGGGGUGGAGGGACCGGCCCUGUGAAGCCCCGGCAACCAGCCUGCUCAGGCAGGCCAGGUGCCAAUGCCGGCAGAAGCGCUUGCUUCUGGACGAUGAGAG